GACGAACGCUGGCGGCGUGCUUAACACAUGCAAGUCGAACGAUGAAGCCAGCUUGCUGGUGGAUUAGUGGCGAACGGGUGAGUAACACGUGGGUGAUCUGCCCCAAACUUUGGGAUAAGCCUGGGAAACUGGGUCUAAUACCGAAUAUGACCGAUACUCGCAUGGGUGUUGGUGGAAAGCUCCGGCGGUUUGGGAUGGGCCCGCGGCCUAUCAGCUUGUUGGUGGGGUAAUGGCCUACCAAGGCGACGACGGGUAGCCGGCCUGAGAGGGCGACCGGCCACACUGGGACUGAGACACGGACCAGACUCCUAUGGGAGGCAGCAGUGGGGAAUAUUGCACAAUGGGCGCAAGCCUGAUGCAGCGACGCCGCGUGAGGGAUGACGGCCUUCGGGUUGUAAACCUCUUUCACCAGGGACGAAGCGAAAGUGACGGUACCUGGAGAAGAAGCACCGGCCAACUACGUG
rnacentral:rRNA from 1 species